GAUAGUGAACCAGUACCGUGAGGGAAAGGCGAAAAGAACCCCGGCGAGGGGAGUGAAAAAGAACCUGAAACCGUGUACGUACAAGCAGUGGGAGCACAGGUUUACCUGUGUGACUGCGUACCUUUUGUAUAAUGGGUCAGCGACUUAUAUUCUGUAGCAAGGUUAACCGUAUAGGGGAGCCGUAGGGAAACCGAGUCUUAACCGGGCGUUAAGUUGCAGGGUAUAGACCCGAAACCCGGUGAUCUAGCCAUGGGCAGGUUGAAGGUUGGGUAACACUAACUGGAGGACCGAACCGACUAAUGUUGAAAAAUUAGCGGAUGACCUGUGGCUGGGGGUGAAAGGCCAAUCAAACCGGGAGAUAGCUGGUUCUCCCCGAAAGCUAUUUAGGUAGCGCCUCGUGAAUUCAUCUCCGGGGGUAGAGCACUGUUUCGGCUAGGGGGCCAUCCCGGCUUACCAACCCGAUGCAAACUGCGAAUACCGGAGAAUGUUAUCACGGGAGACACACGGCGGGUGCUAACGUCCGUCGUGAAGAGGGAAACAACCCAGACCGCCAGCUAAGGUCCCAAAGUCAUGGUUAAGUGGGAAACGAUGUGGGAAGGCCCAGACAGCCAGGAUGUUGGCUUAGAAGCAGCCAUCAUUUAAAGAAAGCGUAAUAGCUCACUGGUCGAGUCGGCCUGCGCGGAAGAUGUAACGGGGCUAAACCAUGCACCGAAGCUGCGGCAGCGACGCUGAUGCGUUGUUGGGUAGGGGAGCGUUCUGUAAGCCUGUGAAGGUGUGUCGUGAGGCAUGCUGGAGGUAUCAGAAGUGCGAAUGCUGACAUAAGUAACGAUAAAGCGGGUGAAAAGCCCGCUCGCCGGAAGACCAAGGGUUCCUGUCCAACGUUAAUCGGGGCAGGGUGAGUCGACCCCUAAGGCGAGGCCGAAAGGCGUAGUCGAUGGGAAACGGGUUAAUAUUCCCGUACUUGGUGUUACUGCGAAGGGGGGACGGAGAAGGCUAUGUUGGCCGGGCGACGGUUGUCCCGGUUUAAGCGUGUAGGCUGGUUUUCCAGGCAAAUCCGGAAAAUCAAGGCUGAGGCGUGAUGACGAGGCACUAC
rnacentral:rRNA from 1 species